UGGCUCAGUUGGUAGAGCAUGAUGCUUGCAAUGCCAGGAAUGUGGGUUCAAUUCCCGU
rnacentral:tRNA from 1 species